UACGAAGGUCCCGAGCGUUAUCCGGAUUUAUUGGGUUUAAAGGGUGCGUAGGCGGAUUAUUAAGUCAGUGGUGAAAGCCUUCAGCUCAACUGAAGAAUUGCCAUUGAUACUGAUGAUCUUGAGUACGAUUGAGGUAGGCGGAAUGUGUCAUGUAGCGGUGAAAUGCUUAGAUAUGACACAGAACACCGAUUGCGAAAGGCAGCUUGCUACACAAUCAUUGACACUGAGGCACGAAAAGCGUGGGGGAUCAA
rnacentral:rRNA from 1 species